UGCGCAGGCGGUUUUGUAAGUCAGACGUGAAAGCCCCGGGCUUAACCUGGGAAUUGCGUUUGAAACUGCAAGGCUAGAGUACGGCAGAGGGGGGUAGAAUUCCACGUGUAGCAGUGAAAUGCGUAGAUAUGUGGAGGAAUACCGAUGGCGAAGGCAGCCCCCUGGGCUAGUACUGACGCUCAUGCACGAAAGCGUGGGGAGCAAACA
rnacentral:rRNA from 1 species